rnacentral:rRNA from 1 species
GAUGAACGCUGGCGGCGUGCCUAAUACAUGCAAGUCGAGCGAACAGACGACUACCUUCCUCCUCUGACGUUAGCGGCGGGCGGGUGAGUAACACGUGGAUAACCUACCUAUAAUACUGAUAUAACUGCGAAAAACCGUAUCUAAUACCGGAUAAUAUAUUUAACCGCAUGGUUCAGUAGUGAAAUACGGUGUUGCUGUCGCUUAUAGAUUAAUCCGUUCCGCAUUAGAUAGUUGGUAAGGUAACGGAUUACCAAGGCAAGGAUUCGUAGCCGAACUGAGAGGGUGAUCGGCGACCUUGGAAGUGAGACAGGCACAAGACUACUAAGGGAGGGAGCAGUAGGGAACCUGCGGCAAUGGGCGAAAGCAUGACGCAGUAAGGCCGAGCCAGUGAUGAAGGUCUUCGGAUCGGAAAAAUCUGUUAUUAGGGAAGAACACAUGUGUAAGUAAAUAUGCCGGUAUUGACGGUACCUAAUGAGAAAGCAACGGCUAACUACGUG